GCCCGCCUAGCUCAAUCGGAUAGAGCGUCAGACUCUUAUCCAUCGAGCGAGAUCUGAAGGCUGCGAGUUCGACCCUCGCGGUGGGCU
rfam:Cylindrobasidium torrendii FP15055 ss-10 unplaced genomic scaffold CYLTOscaffold_79, whole genome shotgun sequence.